AGAAAACUAUACCUAUCUAUCUUCAAAUCCAUCAAAGACUCCAGAAGGAUGAUAUGUUACCUAGUGACAGGGUCAUCAGACUGCCUGGACAGUCACCCAAAGUUCCUCUGCUCCAUGUUUUUAUUAUUAAGACCAAUUCACUAGAAUUCACUCUACAGGAGUCUGGGAGUUUAAUCAAUACCAUGCAGUGGAAGACCCAUCUUUUAAGAUGUACACCCCUUUGUUUUAUCUCCUUAAGUAUUUAUUUGACACCGUCACUCUGCUGAAUUCUCUGAUUCUAUGUGUGUGUGUGUGUGUGUGUGUGUAUUUUGGUAGUACUCUGUUGAAUAGUCUAACCAUGAACACUUCAGAAAUUAUAGUGGAAUCUUGCUCUUUCAGAUUAUUGAUGUGGAAAUUGGCCUCCCUGCCUGUGUUCUGUUGGCUUAGAAGCAUGUAGAAAAGUGGUAUUAACAUUAGCACAUUGCAUCAGAGUGUGCUUCAUUUAUGUUGGAGUCUGCAGCUUAAUCUUCAUUACUUGUGUAUCUGCUUAGCAGUGCUUUGGCAAAUACAACAGAGAAAAUGCACCCUCUUCUUCUGAAAUCGUGUCUGACUUCAGAAGUCUUAACUCACAGUUUGACAGAUGUUUUCUUUGUAUCAUCUAUAUUAAGAAAUAAUUUUUAGUCUGUCUUCAGGAAUCUAGAUUUUUUUUUCUCAAACAUGGUGCUAUAUUCACAAUCCAGGAUGCUUCCUUUCAUGUGAUAUGCAGAAGAAAAAGCUUUUAUGGAAAUUGUUUUUUCUGUUUAAAAAAUAGACUAAACUGUACAAUAUAUUAGCUGUUGGCUUAUUGUAUACACUUAAAUAUACUUCAAAAAUAGUAGUUUAUGGGGAAUAACAUAAGAAUGUUUUACAUUAAGCAAUAUGUUCCAUUGACAAGUUCAGAUUUUUAGAUAUGGUAAUUUGAGUAUUAUAAUAAUUCAAUACUUUUCUUACAGAAGAUUAUACCAGAAUUUAAUAAAGUAAACUAUACCCUGUCUUUAUUUUCCUACUCCAUAUGCAGCUAUUUUACUUUAAAUGGCUAUACAUCAUAAGAAAUGUAAGCCGGGCGGUGGUGGCACACGCCUUUAAUCCCAGCACUCGGUGGCAGAGCCAGG